rnacentral:tRNA from 1 species
AAAGAGCUAGUUUAACCAAAACAUUCGAUUUCGACUUGAACAAUUUUAGCAGCACACUAAAGCUUUUUU